rnacentral:rRNA from 1 species
ACGCUCGACACCUACGGGGGCAGCAGUAGGGAAUCUUCCACAAUGGGCGCAAGCCUGAUGGAGCAACACCGCGUGAGUGAAGAAGGGUUUCGGCUCGUAAAGCUCUGUUGUUGGAGAAGAACGUGCGUGAGAGUAACUGUUCACGCAGUGACGGUAUCCAACCAGAAAGUCACGGCUAACUACGUGCCAACAGCCGCGGUAAUCUGAGCGGGCUGGCAAGGC